rnacentral:rRNA from 1 species
UACGUAGGGGGCAAGCGUUAUCCGGAUUUACUGGGUGUAAAGGGAGCGCAGGCGGUUUGUCAAGUCUGAUGUGAAAGCCCAGGGCUCAACCCUGGGACUGCAUUGGAAACUGUCAGACUAGAGUGUCGGAGAGGUAAGUGGAAUUCCUAGUGUAGCGGUGAAAUGCGUAGAUAUUAGGAGGAACACCAGUGGCGAAGGCGGCUUACUGGACGAUCACUGACGCUGAGGCUCGAAAGCGUGGGGAGCAAACAGG